CCUACGGGAGGCAGCAGUGGGGAAUUUUGGACAAUGGGCGAAAGCCUGAUCCAGCAAUGCCGCGUGUGUGAAGAAGGCCUUCGGGUUGUAAAGCACUUUUGUCCGGAAAGAAAUCCUUGACUCUAAUACAGUCGGGGGAUGACGGUACCGGAAGAAUAAGCACCGGCUAACUACGUGCCAGCAGCCGCGGUAAUACGUAGGGUGCGAGCGUUAAUCGGAAUUACUGGGCGUAAAGCGUGCGCAGGCGGUUUGCUAAGACCGAUGUGAAAUCCCCGGGCUCAACCUGGGAACUGCAUUGGUGACUGGCAGGCUAGAGUAUGGCAGAGGGGGGUAGAAUUCCACGUGUAGCAGUGAAAUGCGUAGAGAUGUGGAGGAAUACCGAUGGCGAAGGCAGCCCCCUGGGCCAAUACUGACGCUCAUGCACGAAAGCGUGGGGAGCAAACAGGAUUAGAUACCCUGGUAGUCCACGCCCUAAACGAUGUCAACUAGUUGUUGGGGAUUCAUUUCCUUAGUAACGUAGCUAACGCGUGAAGUUGACCGCCUGGGGAGUACGGUCGCAAGAUUAAAACUUAAAGGAAUUGACGG
rnacentral:rRNA from 1 species